AUAAAAGGAAUAAAUAGAUGUGUCUACUACUUCCAUGUGUUUUUCAAGUAAUUUCAGUCUCCCAUGGUUGCAUAGAAACCACUGGUGUUCAGGCCCGUUAACUGUGAUUCCUGUCUUGAACGGUGCCAAAAAGGGAACGGGUCCAGCAGAGAAUUCUUAGCUUAUCAUGGCAAUGUUUAUUGAGUUCAGAUUUGAUGUCCUGGGGCUGGCUUUCCUCUACGCAUGCUACCUCUUAAUGAACUCUGGGCUAACAGAUAUAACCGAGCACAACCGUCACACUUCCUGGAACCACUUCGUCACUGGUGUUCACCGCCAUGGUCAAUCCAGCACCCUACUCUGGCUCGGCAGAGGACUGCAAUGGCUUUCUGCUUCAGUGUUCAUUUGCCCUGGAAAUGCAGCCUCAGUACUUCGCUACUGAUAGAGCCAACAUCCUGUCAUUACUUACCGGCAGAGCUCUACAAUGGGAAGAAUCCUUAUGAAAUCAAUCUAGUCCCAUCAUACAGUCGCUGGAUUCAUUCAUCGCUCAUCGCAACACAAGUUUUCAGACAACCCGCUGGUGACACCACAGUGAGUGAAAAAUUAAUUAAAAUCCGUCAAGGAAAGGAUAAUAUUGUUGAUUACUCCCUCAAGUUCUGAACCCUUGCAGCAGCUAGCAGAUGGAAUGAACCAGCAUUACAUACCACCUACCACCAAGGGUUGAAUCCAGUGCUGCGCCUACGAUAACACCAUAGGGCAAGAGCGUUUCAUUCAGUUAUCCAUCUGUGUGGCUCAUCGAAUGAAGGAAUGUCUAGAAGACCAGCCAGCCUUGCAGUCACUCCUCACUACCCACCAGCCAUUCCGUCAGCUCCUCCAGGGCCAGUCUUAGAACCCAUGCAAGUGGAUGUGUUUCACCUCUCCCCUGCAGAAAGACUUUGCCAGCUGACCCAGCAUCUUUACCUAUAUUGCGGUGCGAAGGGACACGUAAAAUCCUUGUGUCCCGUCUGACCUCCAUUACCAGGGUCACCACCCUCCUCGACUCUAGGUCAGCCGGCAAUUUCAUCUCGGGAGCGCUCUGCCAAAGGCUCCAGCUCAAAAAGGAACACUGCUCGUCUGAAUACUUCAUUCAAUCCAUAAUCGGAAUACCCCUGGGGAGAGGCAUCAUCAAGCACUGUGCCGGUCCCUUGCAACUUCAAGUUGGCAGCCAACAUGUGGAAACCAUCACCCUACUGGUUCUGGAGCACUCAACAGCUGAUGUGAUCCUAGGGCGUCCAUGGCUCGUCCGACACAAUCCACAAAUAUCUUGGAGUAUGGGUGACAUGCCUGCCUGUGACCAAACAUCUAUGUUCACCUGUGUUGCAGAUAUAAUAAACCUCCAUUGAGAGCCCUCCAGAUCAACUAUCUGUGGAUAUUCAUGCAUGUUACACCCACUUCCAGGAUGUCUUCUGCCUGAGACGAGCCUCUCAGUUUCCACCACACUGACCAUGGGACUGUGCUAUUGACCUGAUUCCUGGUGAACCAGUGCCCAGAGGUAAAAUAUAUCCGUUAUCUCUCCCAGAACAGCAAGCCAUGGAGGAGUACAUUACUGAGGCUCUCAAGCAGGGCUACAUCAGACAUUCCACAUCUCCUGCUGCUUCCAGCUUCUUCUUUGUUUCCAAGAAGGAUGGAGGUUUGCGGCCCUGCAUCGACUACAGAUCUCUAAAUAAAAUCACAGUCAAGUUCCGAUACCCACUUCCCCUCAUCCCUGCUGCACUGGAACAGUUGCGUGGAGCUACACUUUUCAGCAAGCUUGACCUGCGCAGCGCCUACAGUCUGAUUUGGAUCCGGAGUGGGGACGAAUGGAAGACCACCUUUGUGACCCCUACUGGCCACUAUGACUACCAGGUCAUGCCGUACGGCCUGGUCAACGCCCCCUCCGUAUUCCAGGGAUUCAUGAACGAGGUGUU